GAUGAACGCUAGCUACAGGCUUAACACAUGCAAGUCGCGGGGCAGCAUGGGGGUUGCUUGCAAUCCCCGAUGGCGACCGGCGCACGGGUGAGUAACGCGUAUCCAACCUGCCCUUCACCACGGGAUAACCCGGCGAAAGUCGGACUAAUACCGUAUGUUGUCCAUUGACGGCAUCCGAUUUGGACGAAAGGUUUGGCGGGGAAGGAUGGGGAUGCGUCCGAUUAGCUGGACGGCGGGGUGACGGCCCACCGUGGCGACGAUCGGUAGGGGUUCUGAGAGGAAGGUCCCCCACACUGGAACUGAGACACGGUCCAGACUACUACGGGAGGCAGCAGUGAGGAAUAUUGGUCAAUGGGCGUAAGCCUGAACCAGCCAAGUAGCGUGCAGGAUGACGGCCCUAUGGGUGGUAAACUGCUUUUAUGCGGGGAUAAAGUGGCCCCCGUGUGGGUUUUUGCAGGUACCGCAUGAAUAAGGACCGGCUAAUUCCGUG
rnacentral:rRNA from 1 species